AUGUCGGACGCCGAUGAUUACCGUUGCUUCGUUGGGAGUCUGUCAUGGAACACAACUGAUGUGGAUCUGAAGGAUGCGUUUGGGAAAUUUGGUCGAGUUACUGAGACCAAGGUGGUUCUUGACAAGUUCUCUGGCCGGUCACGUGGCUUUGGAUUUGUGACUUUUGAUGACAAGAAGGCCAUGGAAGAAGCUGUUGAGGCUAUGAAUGGAAUUGAUUUGGAUGGAAGGAAUAUUACUGUUGAAAGAGCACAACCUCAAGGUUCAGGCAGGGACCGUGAUGGAGAUCGAGACUAUCGUGGUGGUGGUGACCGCUAUGGUGGUGGCCGUGAUUUUGGUGGCGGUCGUGGUGGUGGUCGUGGUGGCGGCGGUGAUUGCUACAAAUGUGGCAAGCCUGGUCAUUUUGCAAGGGAGUGCCCUUCUGGUGAUGGUGGGGACAGGUAUGGUAGCAGGGAUGACAGGUAUAGUAGCAGGGAUGACAGGUAUAGUAGUAGGGAUGACAGGUAUGGUGGCAGGGAUGGUGGAAGGGAUGACAAGUAUGGUGGUAGCAACGGCAGCAGUCGCUAUGGGCCUGACCGUGGUGGUGAUCGCUAUUCUGGAAGUCGUGAUGGAGGAAGCCGCAGCAGUGGUGGCGGUGAUCGAUACAGCCGUGACAGGUCUGGACCGUAUGAUCGUCGCAGCCGAGAUGAAUACUGA
rnacentral:rRNA from 1 species